GGCCCCUUAGCUCAGUUGGAUAGAGCAGCUGACUUCUAAUCAGCAGGUCGAGGGUUCGAAUCCUUCAGGGGUCGCCA
rnacentral:tRNA from 2 species